GCGAACGGGUGAGUAACACGUAGGUGAUCUACCUCUGGAUUGGGGAUAGUCUGUGGAAACAUGGGGUAAUACCGAAUACGGUCUUUUUGCUAUGGCGAAAAGAGGAAAGGCGCUAAGGCGUCGUCCGGAGAUGAGCCUGCGGCUGAUUAGCUAGUUGGUAGGGUAACGGCCUACCAAGGCGACGAUCAGUAGCCGGCCUGAGAGGGUGAACGGCCACACUGGGACUGAGAUACGGCCCAGACUCC
rnacentral:rRNA from 1 species